rfam:Phycomyces blakesleeanus NRRL 1555(-) unplaced genomic scaffold PHYBLscaffold_10, whole genome shotgun sequence.
AGCUGAAUAGCGCAGAGGAAGCGCGUUGGGCCCAUAACCCAAAGGUCGGAGGAUCGAAACCUCCUUCAGCUA